UACAAAUUACUAAUGGCUGGCAUGGGC
rnacentral:piRNA from 1 species